UACGUAGGGUGCGAGCGUUGUCCGGAAUUAUUGGGCGUAAAGGGCUCGUAGGCGGUUUGUCGCGUCGGGAGUGAAAACCCAGGGCUUAACCCUGGGCUGGCUUUCGAUACGGGCAGACUAGAGGUAUGCAGGGGGAGAACGGAAUUCCUGGUGUAGCGGUGAAAUGCGCAGAUAUCAGGAGGAACACCGGUGGCGAAGGCGGGUCUCUGGGCCGAUACUGACGCUGAGGAGCGGAAGCGUGGGGAGCGAACAGG
rnacentral:rRNA from 1 species